GGCUGAACGACUUCCACUUCACUUCACUUUGACCUUCACUUUCCUGAUUCCUUAUAACAUAUGUCCUUCUUCUCAUGGGUAAGUAAUCACCAGAUUCCCGGACUGGGGAGUCUCAAGGCAGAUUUUUAAUGAAGCUUUGGAUUGGGGUGUCAGAGCAGCAAGUGGCUGGACUGGUAUUCAAACCCUGACAACUUCUUCAUGAGGCAGAAGAGUGAAGAGGGGACAGAACGCAGGUGUCAGAACACAGGUGAACGUCAGAGAGCUGGAGAGCUGACGCAGCUGCUGAAAGUUUUGAUAUUCAUUUACUCAAGCAAGGUCAUCAUGGUCCUUUACUCAAUUACAAGGUCACGGUGGAACUAACUUAGGUAUUUUUUCACUGCGUCACCAAAAUUCUUCCUCUCUAUUAUAUUACCCCUAUUCGGAAAACAUACAAACGUACCCUAAUAGUAUCUUCCUUUAGAAUUAAAUUCUUUGUCUGGUUAUAUCUGAUUUUCUGUUCCCUCCACAGGAAAACUUUCAGAAAGUUGUCUAUGUGCUGUCUCUAUAUCCUCACUUACAUUCACCU
rnacentral:lncRNA from 1 species